GACGAACCGUCCGAACGUUAUUCGGUAUCACUGGGCUUAAAGAGUUCGUAGGCGGCUCCGUAGGUGAGGUGUGAAAUCCCUCGGCUUAACCGAGGAAUUGCGCUUCAAACCGUGGAGCUAGAGGAAGAUAGGGGUGAGCGGAACAGAUGGUGGAGCGGUGAAAUGCGUUGAUAUCAUCUGGAACACCGGUGGCGAAAGCGGCUCGCUGGAUCUUUUCUGACGCUGAGGAACGAAAGCUAGGGGAGCGAACGGGAUUAGAUACCCCGGUAGUCCUAGCCGUAAACGAUGAGCACUAGUCUGUGGGGACCCUCACAUCCUCUCGGACGUAGCGAAAGUGUUAAGUGCUCCGCCUGGGGAGUAUGGUCGCAAGGCUG
rnacentral:rRNA from 1 species